GGAGGCCACACAAGCGAGCCGCGUACCCACGAUCAAACGGUCCAGAUUCGUUCCCGCGCGCACGGACGGCAUGAAUGUGUUCCCUCCCCAAUCGCGAUCGGAUGACCAAAUUUAAACACGAUCAAUGGUCCAGAUUUGCUUCCUAUUUAAAUGUGAUCGAACAAUCCAGAUUAGAUCGCGAUUGGCGAUCCAGAUUCACUUCCUUUUUAAUCGCAAUCGGAUAGUAUAGAUCAAACGCGAUGGACGGUCCAU
rnacentral:lncRNA from 1 species